rnacentral:rRNA from 1 species
UACGGAGGGAGCGAGCGUUAAUCGGAAUUACUGGGCGUAAAGCGCACGUAGGUGGCUUUGUAAGUCGGAUGUGAAAGCCCUGGGCUUAACCUGGGAAUGGCAUUCGAUACUGCAUAGCUAGAGUAUGGUAGAGGGAAGUGGAAUUUCCGGUGUAGCGGUGAAAUGCGUAGAUAUCGGAAGGAACACCAGUGGCGAAGGCGACUUCCUGGGCCAAUACUGACACUGAGGUGCGAAAGCGUGGGGAGCAAACAGG